GAAGUGGUAGCUGAGUGGUUAAGGCGUUGGACUCCUGAUCGGAAGAUUAAGAGUUCAAAUGCUGCCACUGCU